rnacentral:Y_RNA from 1 species
GGUUGGUCUGAGUGCAGUUGGUGUUUACAGUUACUUAAUCACGGCCAGUUAUUGGUUUUUUGUUCCAUCUCCAUUUCCACUGUUCCACUUGACUAGUCUUGA